rnacentral:rRNA from 1 species
AGUUUGAUCAGUGGCUCAGGACGAACGCUGGCGGCGCGCUUAAUACAUGCAAGUCGAACGAGAAGCCAGAGCUUGCUCUGGUGGAAAGUGGCGAACGGGUGAGUAACACGUGAGAAACCUGCCCCAAAGAUUGGGAUAAGCCUUGGAAACGAGGUCUAAUACCAAAUACCUUCUUUUUAACACAUGUUAAAAAGAAGAAAUGCUCCGGCGCUUUGGGAUGGUCUCGCGAUCUAUCAGCUUGUUGGUGAGGUAACGGCUCACCAAGGCAUCGACGGAUAGCUGGUCUGAGAGGAUGUCCAGCCACAUUGGAACUGAGACACGGUCCAAACUCCUACGGGAGGCAGCAGUAGGGAAUCUUGCACAAUGAGGGAAACCUUGAUGCAGCGACGCCGCGUGCGGGACGAAGGCCCUAGGGUUGUAAACCGCUUUCAGUAGGGACGAAAGUGACGGUACCUACAGAAGAAGCCCCGGCCAACUAUGUG